GAAGCGGGAAGAGCUCAAAUUUGAAAGCUGGCGUCUUCGGCGUCCGCGUUGUAAUCUCGAGACGUGUUUUUCCGUGCGGCUCUAUGGACAAGUCCCUUGGAACAGGGCAUCGUAGAGGGUGAAAAUCCCGUACUUGCCAUGGAAGUACCGUGCUUUGUGAUACACGCUCCAAGAGUCGAGUAGUUUGGGAUUGCUGCUCAAAGUGGGUGGUAGACUCCAUCUAAAGCUAAAUAUCGGGGAGAGACCGAUAGCGAACAAGUACCGUGAGGGAAAGAUGAAAAGCACUUUGGAAAGAGAGUUAAAAGUACGUGAAAUUGUCGAAAGGGAAGCACUUGAAGUCAGCCAUGCUGCUUGAGACUCAGCCUGGCUUUUGCUUGGUGUAUUUCUCGGUAGCAAGCCAGCAUUGGUUUGUGUCGUCGGAGAAGCGUAUGGGGAAUGUGGCAUCCUCGGAUGUGUUAUAGCCCUGUGCAGGAUACGAC
rnacentral:rRNA from 1 species